rnacentral:misc_RNA from 1 species
AGUCGUAACAAGGUUUCCGUAGGUGAACCUGCGGAAGGAUCAUUAACACUGAUCACCUUUUCUUCUCAUCACACAACUAUGCGAACUUGUCUCAUUUUUUUUCUCUAAAAAAAUGAAUUAAAGAAAAUGGCUUGUUUAUGGGAUUUUUUUCACAUUAGUGAAAACUUUCUCGUAUUCAAUCUCUUUUUUUUACUCCUUUUUUUUUAAAUUCAAACCCCAUUAACCUUUUUUUAAUCAAUUAAACAAAAAAUAACUAAAUUAAACAAAUUUAAAUAAAUACAAAAACAAUUCUUAACAAUGGAUAUCUUGGUUCUCGC